rfam:Aedes aegypti strain Liverpool supercont1.10 genomic scaffold, whole genome shotgun sequence.
AAAACGGCCCUCUUCAGGGCCACAACAAUGCAUUCGAAGUAGAAG